CAGCAGUAGGGAAUAUUAGAAAUGGACGAAAGUCUGAUCUAGCAACACCGCGUGUGCGAAGAAGGCCUUCGGGUCGUAAAGCACUUUUUGGAAGGAAUAGGAAGGAAUGUACUUCCAGAAUAAGUCUCGGCUAACUACGUGCCAGCAGCCGCGGUAACACGUAGGAGGCGAACGUUAUCCGGAUUUACUGGGCGUAAAGCGCGUGUAGGUGGUUCUGUAAGUAGGGCGUGAAAGCUCCUGGCUCAACUGGGAGAGGCCGUUCUAAACUACAGAACUAGAGGAUGGUAGAGGGAGGUGGAAUUCCAGGUGUAGCGGUGGAAUGCGCAGAUAUCUGGAGGAACACCAGUGGCGAAGGCGGCCUCCUGGACCAUUCCUGACACUCAGACGCGAAAGCUAGGGUAGCAAACGGGAUUAGA
rnacentral:rRNA from 1 species